AAAUGAUUUAUCAAAAGGCAAUUUGUAAUUGAAACCCGAUAUAUAUUCAUGAUCGUAGAUAGAUGUCUCGCCUUCUGCUGAGCCCUCAGUUGGCAUGGAAGCAACCUCGGACGGAGUACUGCGAUCCUCUGACAGGGUACUGCGGUCAACCAUUUCUAUAUCAGAAAUGUUUUCUGUUAUCCUUGAAGACAUAGCGUGUAUAAUUUGCAACACUUUUGGUUUUUCAAAAACAGUGGGUUUUGCCAUUACAACUAAUCCUGUUCUCCUUUCAGACUUCACUAUCAUUUCUGCUGUAAAAUGGUCUGAACAAAUGUUGAAAAUCUCGCCUUUUUGUUUAUCAAUGAUUAAUUGAAUUGCGGCAUCUAUGUUCACAAAUUCAUCACCUGUGGCUAAAAGCCAUUCUUUAAUUCUGUCAGGUGAACUUGGGAAAUUAAAGAGCAAUCAGCUGAAUGUUUAGAGUGACUGUUUCUGCAGCCUACAACUAAACAUUUCUGCAUUUUGUCUAUGUUUUAAGAAAAACAAAAAGGGAUGAAAAAAGAAAA